UAGUCAUAUGCUUGUCAUAAAGAUUAAGCCAUGCAGGUGUAAGUACAAGUUAUUAUUAACGAAACUGCGAACGGCUCAUUACAACAGUUAUAAUCUACUUGAUCGUAAACUCCUACUUGGAUAACCGUGGGAAAUCUAGGGCUAAUACAUGCUAAGAUCCUCGACUGUGGUAACACUGGAAGAGGUGAACUUGUUAGAUUAAAACCAAUGGGGCUUCGGCCUCUACCUAGACGAUUCAUAACAAGUCAUUGUCGAAUCGCAGUCUUGUACUGCGAUGUACCAAUCGAAUUUCUGCCCUAUCAACUAUUGUAGGUUGGAUAGAGGCCAACCUAGGUCGUAACGGGUAACGGGGAAUUAGGGUUCGAUUCCGGAGAGGGAGCCUGAGAAACGGCUACCACUUCUACGGAAGGCAGCAGGCGCGCAAAUUGCCCAAUCCCGACACGGGGAGGCAGUGACGUGAAAUAGCGUUGCACGGCUCAUUUGGGUCGUGACAUCGCAAUGAGUGUAAUCUAAACCCUUUAACGAAAGCAAUUG
rnacentral:rRNA from 1 species